GAUGAAGAACGCAGCGAAAUGCGAAAAGUAAUGUGAAUUGCAGAAUUCAGUGAAUCAUCGAAUCUUUGAACGCACAUUGCGCCCGCCAGUAUUCUGGCGGGCAUGCCUGUCUGAGCGUCAUUUCAACCCUCACGCCCCUAGGGCAUGGUGUUGGGGAUCGGCCAAGGCCCGCAAGGGACGGCCGGCCCCUAAAUCUAGUGGCGGACCCAUCGUGGCCUCCCCUGCGAAGUAGUAAUAUAUUCCGCAUCGGAUAGCGAUGAGCCCCUGCCGUUAAACCCCCAACUCUUUCAAGGUUGACCUCAGAUCAGGUAGGAAUACCCGCUGAACUUAAGCAUAUCAAUAAGCGGAGGA
rnacentral:misc_RNA from 1 species